GAAGGGGCUCAACAGAACUGCUAACUCUCACACCUGAAAUUAAAACCUCAGACCCUUCA
rnacentral:tRNA from 1 species